rfam:Thermovenabulum gondwanense strain R270 ATZ99_contig000043, whole genome shotgun sequence.
GUCACCUUUAAACUGGUCCCGUGAGGCUGGUAAGGUGAGGCGAAAAGAUAGAAGGAAAAAAGCCUUUCUCUGCCUGACGGAGGAGGGCUUUUUUUUUGCCUAAAUCCGUUGUAGAUUAAUAAUAUUCUAAAAAAAAUCCCUAUGCCUCACGGCAUAGGGAUUUUUUUAA